GAUCAUGGCUCAGGAUGAACGCUGGCGGCGUGCCUAACACAUGCAAGUCGAGCGAAGCACUUUGCUUAGAUUCUUCGGAUGAAGAGGAUUGUGACUGAGCGGCGGACGGGUGAGUAACGCGUGGGUAACCUGCCUCAUACAGGGGGAUAACAGUUAGAAAUGACUGCUAAUACCGCAUAAGACCACAGCACCGCAUGGUGCGGGGGUAAAAAACUCCGGUGGUAUGAGAUGGACCCG
rnacentral:rRNA from 1 species